rnacentral:rRNA from 1 species
UACAGAGGGGGCAAGCGUUGUUCGGAAUUACUGGGCGUAAAGGGCGCGUAGGCGGCCUGCUAAGUCGAACGUGAAAUCCCUGGGCUCAACCCAGGAGCUGCGUCCGAUACUGGUUGGCUUGAAUCCGGGAGAGGGAUGUGGAAUUCCAGGUGUAGCGGUGAAAUGCGUAGAUAUCUGGAGGAACACCGGUGGCGAAGGCGACAUCCUGGACCGGUAUUGACGCUGAGGCGCGAAAGCCAGGGGAGCAAACGGG